GACAGAGGGUGCAAACGUUGUUCGGAAUUACUGGGCGUAAAGCGCGUGUAGGCGGUCUGGCAAGUCGGAUGUGAAAGCCCUUGGCUCAACUGAGGAAGUGCAUUCGAAACUGCAAGACUUGAGUCCCGGAGAGGAUGGUGGAAUUCUCGGUGUAGAGGUGAAAUUCGUAGAUAUCGAGAGGAACACCGGUGGCGAAGGCGGCCAUCUGGACGGUGACUGACGCUGAGACGCGAAAGCAUGGGGAGCAAACAGG
rnacentral:rRNA from 1 species